AUUGAACGCUGGCGGCAUGCCUUACACAUGCAAGUCGAACGGCAGCACGGACUUCGGUCUGGUGGCGAGUGGCGAACGGGUGAGUAAUGCAUCGGAACGUGCCAUUGAGUGGGGGAUAACGUAGCGAAAGUUGCGCUAAUACCGCAUAUUCUGUGAGCAGGAAAGCAGGGGACCGCAAGGCCUUGCGCUCUUUGAGCGGCCGAUGUCAGAUUAGCUAGUUGGUGAGGUAAAGGCUUACCAAGGCGACGAUCUGUAGCGGGUCUGAGAGGAUGAUCCGCCACACUGGGACUGAGACACGGCCCAGACUCCUACGGGAGGCAGCAGUGGGGAAUUUUGGACAAUGGGCGCAAGCCUGAUCCAGCCAUGCCGCGUGAGUGAAGAAGG
rnacentral:rRNA from 1 species